GAGGGUAGAGCUCAGUGGUAGAGCACUUGCUUAGCAUGCAUGAGGUCCUGGGUUCAAUCCCCAAUACCUCCA
rnacentral:tRNA from 1 species